rnacentral:rRNA from 1 species
UUAAGCGACUAAGCGUACACGGUGGAUGCCCUGGCAGUCAGAGGCGAUGAAGGACGUGCUAAUCUGCGAUAAGCGUCGGUAAGGUGAUAUGAACCGUUAUAACCGGCGAUUUCCGAAUGGGGAAACCCAGUGUGAUUCGUCACACUAUCAUUAACUGAAUCCAUAGGUUAAUGAGGCGAACCGGGGGAACUGAAACAUCUAAGUACCCCGAGGAAAAGAAAUCAACCGAGAUUCCCCCAGUAGCGGCGAGCGAACGGGGAGCAGCCCAGAGCCUGAAUCAGUGUGUGUGUUAGUGGAAGCGUCUGGAAAGGCGCGCGAUACAGGGUGACAGCCCCGUACACAAAAAUGCACAUACUGUGAGCUCGAUGAGUAGGGCGGGACACGUGGUAUCCUGUCUGAAUAUGGGGGGACCAUCCUCCAAGGCUAAAUACUCCUGACUGACCGAUAGUGAACCAGUACCGUGAGGGAAAGGCGAAAAGAACCCCGGCGAGGGGAGUGAAAAAGAACCUGAAACCGUGUACGUACAAGCAGUGGGAGCCUCUUUAUGGGGUGACUGCGUACCUUUUGUAUAAUGGGUCAGCGACUUAUAUUCUGUAGCAAGGUUAACCGAAUAGGGGAGCCGAAGGGAAACCGAGUCUUAACUGGGCGUUAAGUUGCAGGGUAUAGACCCGAAACCCGGUGAUCUAGCCAUGGGCAGGUUGAAGGUUGGGUAACACUAACUGGAGGACCGAACCGACUAAUGUUGAAAAAUUAGCGGAUGACUUGUGGCUGGGGGUGAAAGGCCAAUCAAACCGGGAGAUAGCUGGUUCUCCCCGAAAGCUAUUUAGGUAGCGCCUCGUGAAUUCAUCUCCGGGGGUAGAGCACUGUUUCGGCAAGGGGGUCAUCCCGACUUACCAACCCGAUGCAAACUGCGAAUACCGGAGAAUGUUAUCACGGGAGACACACGGCGGGUGCUAACGUCCGUCGUGAAGAGGGAAACAACCCAGACCGCCAGCUAAGGUCCCAAAGUCAUGGUUAAGUGGGAAACGAUGUGGGAAGGCCCAGACAGCCAGGAUGUUGGCUUAGAAGCAGCCAUCAUUUAAAGAAAGCGUAAUAGCUCACUGGUCGAGUCGGCCUGCGCGGAAGAUGUAACGGGGCUAAACCAUGCACCGAAGCUGCGGCAGCGACACUAUGUGUUGUUGGGUAGGGGAGCGUUCUGUAAGCCUGUGAAGGUGUGCUGUGAGGUAUGCUGGAGGUAUCAGAAGUGCGAAUGCUGACAUAAGUAACGAUAAAGCGGGUGAAAAGCCCGCUCGCCGGAAGACCAAGGGUUCCUGUCCAACGUUAAUCGGGGCAGGGUGAGUCGACCCCUAAGGCGAGGCCGAAAGGCGUAGUCGAUGGGAAACAGGUUAAUAUUCCUGUACUUGGUGUUACUGCGAAGGGGGGACGGAGAAGGCUAUGUUGGCCGGGCGACGGUUGUCCCGGUUUAAGCGUGUAGGCUGGUUUUCCAGGCAAAUCCGGAAAAUCAAGGCUGAGGCGUGAUGACGAGGCACUACGGUGCUGAAGUAACAAAUGCCCUGCUUCCAGGAAAAGCCUCUAAGCAUCAGGUAACAUCAAAUCGUACCCCAAACCGACACAGGUGGUCAGGUAGAGAAUACCAAGGCGCUUGAGAGAACUCGGGUGAAGGAACUAGGCAAAAUGGUGCCGUAACUUCGGGAGAAGGCACGCUGAUAUGUAGGUGAAGUCCCUUGCGGAUGGAGCUGAAAUCAGUCGAAGAUACCAGCUGGCUGCAACUGUUUAUUAAAAACACAGCACUGUGCAAACACGAAAGUGGACGUAUACGGUGUGACGCCUGCCCGGUGCCGGAAGGUUAAUUGAUGGGGUUAGCGGUAACGCGAAGCUCUUGAUCGAAGCCCCGGUAAACGGCGGCCGUAACUAUAACGGUCCUAAGGUAGCGAAAUUCCUUGUCGGGUAAGUUCCGACCUGCACGAAUGGCGUAAUGAUGGCCAGGCUGUCUCCACCCGAGACUCAGUGAAAUUGAACUCGCUGUGAAGAUGCAGUGUACCCGCGGCAAGACGGAAAGACCCCGUGAACCUUUACUAUAGCUUGACACUGAACAUUGAGCCUUGAUGUGUAGGAUAGGUGGGAGGCUUUGAAGUGUGGACGCCAGUCUGCAUGGAGCCGACCUUGAAAUACCACCCUUUAAUGUUUGAUGUUCUAACGUUGACCCGUAAUCCGGGUUGCGGACAGUGUCUGGUGGGUAGUUUGACUGGGGCGGUCUCCUCCUAAAGAGUAACGGAGGAGCACGAAGGUUGGCUAAUCCUGGUCGGACAUCAGGAGGUUAGUGCAAUGGCAUAAGCCAGCUUGACUGCGAGCGUGACGGCGCGAGCAGGUGCGAAAGCAGGUCAUAGUGAUCCGGUGGUUCUGAAUGGAAGGGCCAUCGCUCAACGGAUAAAAGGUACUCCGGGGAUAACAGGCUGAUACCGCCCAAGAGUUCAUAUCGACGGCGGUGUUUGGCACCUCGAUGUCGGCUCAUCACAUCCUGGGGCUGAAGUAGGUCCCAAGGGUAUGGCUGUUCGCCAUUUAAAGUGGUACGCGAGCUGGGUUUAGAACGUCGUGAGACAGUUCGGUCCCUAUCUGCCGUGGGCGCUGGAGAACUGAGGGGGGCUGCUCCUAGUACGAGAGGACCGGAGUGGACGCAUCACUGGUGUUCGGGUUGUCAUGCCAAUGGCACUGCCCGGUAGCUAAAUGCGGAAGAGAUAAGUGCUGAAAGCAUCUAAGCACGAAACUUGCCCCGAGAUGAGUUCUCCCUGACUCCUUGAGAGUCCUGAAGGAACGUUGAAGACGACGACGUUGAUAGGCCGGGUGUGUAAGCGCAGCGAUGCGUUGAGCUAACCGGUACUAAUGAACCGUGAGGCUUAACCUU